UACGGAAGGCAGCAGUGGGGAAUAUUGCACAAUGGGCGCAAGCCUGAUGCAGCCAUGCCGCGUGUAUGAAGAAGGCCUUCGGGUUGUAAAGUACUUUCAGUCGUGAGGAGGGUGUUAAGGUUAAUAACCUUAGCAAUUGACGUUAGCGACAGAAGAAGCACCGGCUAACUCCGUGCCAGCAGCCGCGGUAAUACGGAGGGUGCGAGCGUUAAUCGGAAUUACUGGGCGUAAAGGGCACGCAGGCGGUUAAUUAAGUUGGAUGUGAAAUCCCCGGGCUUAACCUGGGAAUGGCAUUCAAGACUGGUUAGCUAGAGUCUUGUAGAGGGGGUAGAAUUCCAUGUGUAGCGGUGAAAUGCGUAGAGAUGUGGAGGAAUACCGGUGGCGAAAGCGGCCCCUGGACAAAGACUGACGCUCAUGUGCGAAAGCGUGGGGAGCAAACAGGGAUUAGAUACC
rnacentral:rRNA from 1 species